rnacentral:rRNA from 1 species
UCAGGAUGAACGCUAGCGACAGGCUUAACACAUGCAAGUCGAGGGGCAGCAUAAAGUAGCAAUACUUGGUGGCGACCGGCGCACGGGUGAGUAACGCGUAUGCAACCUACCUAUCAGAGGGGAAUAACCCGGCGAAAGUCGGACUAAUACCGCAUAAAACAGGGGCACCGCAUGGUGAUAUUUGUUAAAGAAAUUCGCUGAUAGAUGGGCAUGCGUUCCAUUAGGUAGUUGGUGAGGUAACGGCUCACCAAGCCGACGAUGGAUAGGGGAACUGAGAGGUUGGUCCCCCACACUGGUACUGAGACACGGACCAGACUCCUACGGGAGGCAGCAGUGAGGAAUAUUGGUCAAUGGACGAGAGUCUGAACCAGCCAAGUCGCGUGCAGGAAGAAUGUCCUUAAUGGAUUGUAAACUGCUUUUGCAGGGGAAUAAAGUGCAUCACGUGUGAUGUUUUGUAUGUACUCUGCGAAUAAGGAUCGGCUAACUCCGUGCCAGCAGCCGC